rnacentral:rRNA from 1 species
UGAGCUUGAUCCUGGCUCAGGAUGAACGCUAGCGGCAGGCUUAACACAUGCAAGUCGAGGGGUAUAAGUCUUCGGAUUUAGAGACCGGCGCACGGGUGCGUAACGCGUAUGCAAUCUACCUUUUACAGAGGGAUAGCCCAGAGAAAUUUGGAUUAAUACCUCAUAGCAUAGCAGCUUCGCAUGAAGCCACUAUUAAAGUCACAACGGUAAAAGAUGAGCAUGCGUCCCAUUAGCUAGUUGGUAAGGUAACGGCUUACCAAGGCUACGAUGGGUAGGGGUCCUGAGAGGGAGAUCCCCCACACUGGUACUGAGACACGGACCAGACUCCUACGGGAGGCAGCAGUGAGGAAUAUUGGACAAUGGGCGCAAGCCUGAUCCAGCCAUGCCGCGUGCAGGAUGACGGUCCUAUGGAUUGUAAACUGCUUUUAUACGAGAAGAAACACUCCUUCGUGAAGGAGCUGACGGUAUCUAGA